AAAAGUCACAGGCACUGUAAAACUAGAGUCUGAAUAUUUUUCUAUUUGUCUAAGCAUGUUCUGAAAAUCGGGUCUGAGUUAGGCUUUCUUAACACUUGGUCUCCAGGUUACAAAGUGUCCCCAGUCUUGAAGCAGCAUCCAUCACAUGAACAGAGAGAAGGAGACACCAUCAUAAAGAAAAUCCUUCAACGUUUGAAAUCUGGCUCAAGUCAUAGUUAUAAAAUCGAUCUCUCACUCUGGGGAAUGCCAGCUGCCCUGUCCUCAAGCAGCCUUUCAGAGAGGCCCAUGUGGCUGCCAACAACCACAUGAGAUUCCCACCUCACGCCCCGUCAAGUGUUCAGAUGAGACCACAACCCCAGCCAACAGCUUGACUGCAACCUCAUGAGAGACGGAGCCAGAGUCACCUAGGAUGGAUUGAGAUACACUAUAUAGUAACAAUUCCAAACUGUCAGUGAUGUGACAACAGAAGUUCAUUUCAGCUCGGCUGGGUCUGUACUCCUGCAUCUUCAUCA